rnacentral:lncRNA from 1 species
CUAGCUCUCUUUCUCCUGCACAGUCUUCGUUCCCCGGAGACGUCCAGUCCGGCGGGGAGCAAUGAGACCCACUUUGCGGCCAGCAGGGGCAUCCAUCUUGAAGGCUGGCCGGGCCUACCACAAAUAUAAGGCAAAGAGGAACUGUAGGCCACGAGUACGGGGUGUGGCCAUGAACCCUGUGGAGCAUCCUUUUGAAGGUGGCAACCCCCAGCACAUUGGCAAGC